rnacentral:rRNA from 1 species
GACGAACGCUGGCGGCGUGCUUAACACAUGCAAGUCGAGCGGUAAGGCCCUUUCGGGGGUACACGAGCGGCGAACGGGUGAGUAACACGUGGGUGACCUGCCCUCAGCUCUGGGAUAAGCCUGGGAAACUGGGUCUAAUACUGGAUAUGACUCCACGGUGCAUGUCGUGGGGUGGAAAGCCUUGUGCGGCUGAGGAUGGGGCCCGCGGCCUAUCAGCUUGGUUGGGGGGUGAUGGCCUACCAAGGCGACGACGGGGUAGCCGGCCUGAGAGGGCGACCGGCCACACUGGGACUGAGACACGGCCCAGACUCCUACGGGAGGCAGCAGUGGGGAAUCUUGCGCAAUGGGCGAAAGCCUGACGCAGCGACGCCGCGUGAGGGAUGACGGCCU